rnacentral:rRNA from 1 species
GAGUGUGACACACGAUAGGUCGAAGAGUGGUGCAUGGCCGUUAACGACGAGUGGAGUGAUCUUUGGGUUAAGUCCGUAAAUUAGUGAGACCUCAGCCGUAAGGGACAGGUGCGCAAAGCACAGGAAGGAUGGGUCAAGGACAGGUCAGUGAUGCCCUUAGAUGGUCCGGGCUGCACGCGCACUACAGUGGUCGCCGAAAUUACCUGAUAAUUUUAAAGGCGAUCGAGAGGGAAUGAGCUUUGUAAGAGGCUCAGGAACGAGGAAUUGCUAGUAAUCGCGGACUCAUUAAGACGCGAUGAAUACGUCCCUGUUCUUUGUACACACCGCCCGUCGUUAUCGAAGAUGAAGACAGGCGCGAACGAUCUUACCAGAAAGUGAGCGCAGGUCUUUAGAUCUGAUACAAGUCGUAACAAGGUAGCUGUAGGAGAACCUGUAGCUGG